rnacentral:tRNA from 1 species
GGGUAUAGCUCAGUGGUAGAGUGUGUGCUUAGCAAGCAUGAGGGCCUGGGUUCAAUCCCCCUUACCUCCA